rnacentral:rRNA from 1 species
AUGAACGCUAGCUACAGGCUUAACACAUGCAAGUCGAGGGGCAGCAUGGUCUUAGCUUGCUAAGGCCGAUGGCGACCGGCGCACGGGUGAGUAACACGUAUCCAACCUGCCGUCUACUCUUGGACAGCCUUCUGAAAGGAAGAUUAAUACAAGAUGGCAUCAUGAGUCCGCAUGUUCACAUGAUUAAAGGUAUUCCGGUAGACGAUGGGGAUGCGUUCCAUUAGAUAGUAGGCGGGGUAACGGCCCACCUAGUCUUCGAUGGAUAGGGGUUCUGAGAGGAAGGUCCCCCACAUUGGAACUGAGACACGGUCCAAACUCCUACGGGAGGCAGCAGUGAGGAAUAUUGGUCAAUGGGCGAGAGCCUGAACCAGCCAAGUAGCGUGAAGGAUGACUGCCCUAUGGGUUGUAAACUUCUUUUAUAAAGGAAUAAAGUCGGGUAUGGAUACCCGUUUGCAUGUACUUUAUGAAUAAGGAUCGGCUAACUCCGUGCCAGCAGCCGCGGUAAUACGGAGGAUCCGAGCGUUAUCCGGAUUUAUUGGGUUUAAAGGGAGCGUAGAUGGAUGUUUAAGUCAGUUGUGAAAGUUUGCGGCUCAACCGUAAAAUUGCAGUUGAUACUGGAUAUCUUGAGUGCAGUUGAGGCAGGCGGAAUUCGUGGUGUAGCGGUGAAAUGCUUAGAUAUCACGAAGAACUCCGAUUGCGAAGGCAGCCUGCUAAGCUGCAACUGACAUUGAGGCUCGAAAGUGUGGGUAUCAAACAGGGUUAGAUACCCUGGUAGUCCACACGGUAAACGAUGAAUACUCGCUGUUUGCGAUAUACUGCAAGCGGCCAAGCGAAAGCGUUAAGUAUUCCACCUGGGGAGUACGCCGGCAACGGUGAAACUCAAAGGAAUUGACGGGGGCCCGCACAAGCGGAGGAACAUGUGGUUUAAUUCGAUGAUACGCGAGGAACCUUACCCGGGCUUAAAUUGCAGAUGAAUUACGGUGAAAGCCGUAAGCCGCAAGGCAUCUGUGAAGGUGCUGCAUGGUUGUCGUCAGCUCGUGCCGUGAGGUGUCGGCUUAAGUGCCAUAACGAGCGCAACCCUUGUUGUCAGUUACUAACAGGUUCCGCUGAGGACUCUGACAAGACUGCCAUCGUAAGAUGUGAGGAAGGUGGGGAUGACGUCAAAUCAGCACGGCCCUUACGUCCGGGGCUACACACGUGUUACAAUGGGGGGUACAGAGGGCCGCUACCACGCGAGUGGAUGCCAAUCCCCAAAACCUCUCUCAGUUCGGACUGGAGUCUGCAACCCGACUCCACGAAGCUGGAUUCGCUAGUAAUCGCGCAUCAGCCACGGCGCGGUGAAUACGUUCCCGGGCCUUGUACACACCGCCCGUCAAGCCAUGGGAGCCGGGGGUACCUGAAGUGCGUAACCGCGAGGAGCGCCCUAGGGUAAAACUGGUGACUGG